GAUGAACGCUGGCGGCGUGCCUAAUACAUGCAAGUCGAGCGAACGGACGAGAAGCUUGCUUCUCUGAUGUUAGCGGCGGACGGGUGAGUAACACGUGGAUAACCUACCUAAGACUGGGAUAACUUCGGGAAACCGGAGCUAAUACCGGAUAAUAUUUUGAACCGCAUGGUUCAAAAGUGAAAGACGGUCUUGCUGUCACUUAUAGAUGGAUCCACGCUGCAUUAGCUAGUUGGUAAGGUAACGGCUUGCCAAGGCAACGAUGCAUAGCCGACCUGAGAGGGUGAUCGGCCACACUGGAACUGAGACACGGUCCAGACUCCUACGGGAGGCAGCAGUAGGGAAUCUUCCGCAAUGGGCGAAAGCCUGACGGAGCAACGCCGCGUGAGUGAUGAAGGUCUUCGGAUCGUAAAACUCUGUUAUUAGGGAAGAACAUAUGUGUAAGUAACUGUGCACAUCUUGACGGUACCUAAUCAGAAAGCCACGGCUAACUACGUG
rnacentral:rRNA from 1 species